ensembl:lncRNA
GCAUGUUUCUGUCAGAGUGCUCAGAAAUGUUUAAGCAAUGUCUCUUUACACAAGCCAGCAUUGGUCACCCAUCACGCUGGGAUUCCUUCACUUUUAUAUUGUGAUGAUUUCUUUCCCACGCUCGUCGCUGACAGACUUGGUGGGAAACAGUCGAGAUGAGAAUGUCAAAGGUGGAUGUUCAGAGACAUUCAGCAUCAGAGCUCGGCUGCUGAUUCAGUUUCCUUCUGGAGUGAUCGUCGAGCAUCACUUCAGGACCAACAAAAGUCCCGCCUUCAGUUUGGCUUCACAGACUGAUUCUUUAAAAGCUGAAACCUGUUCUGUCAUCCAGGCUGUCCAAUACUGAGACGCUCCAAACUAAAAAACAGGACAUGCUCGACGGGAGCGGUGUUCAGAUUUAGACUCAAUGAACGAAUCCCAGCAGCAAAAUUCACAGAAACAUGUUUCAGCAACGUUCUUCCCGUUAAAAGGAAGUUCUUCCUUCCCCCCGUCUCCGAGUGUUCGUCGUGCAUCGUCUGAUUGAUGGUUUCUCUCUAAAGUCAGAAUUUCUCAGAACUUGAUUUUGGGGAAUAAAUGUAGUUUUUGUCUCCAGCUGAGGAGAUUUUGAACUUCUGUAACUUCCCUUUAAUUGAAUUAUGGAGCUGUGCUCACAGGUCAUCUGACCGGUUUCUCCUGCACAUACAGGGAGGGGACAGAGCACGCUCUGCUGCCUUUGCACACUGGACUCAUCUAAAACACAUUUAUUCUCCGUGACCUUUGACCCAGCGUGAGGCAUUGAUCUUUUUGUAUUUUUUAAUCAUUUCCAGUGUAUUUAUUCAUUACUGUUUGCAGCCUGUAUCUGCUGUGGCUGUUGUUGGAGUGCAGCUUAGACACCGUCUGACACACACUUCUGUGUGUCUGACACAGGAGGCUGGGCCGCUUCUCUUUUACCUGUGCAAACACAGGUGUAAGAGCCAUGAUUUGUAAAGCUACGUUAUCUGAUGAUGGCACUCGUUAAUGAGUAAUCAGAGAUGUUGCAGAGGCUCUUUCAUCAAACUGCAGUCUCUCUUUUGUGCCCAACAAAAACACAUCCUCCUGUUGAUACUUGAUGCUGCCGUUUCAUGAAGUCGUGGCUUUUUAUCUUCUCCGCUGCCGGGUGGAGCACAGCUCAGCCUGUCUGGCAUGGAGAGCGUACACAACAGGGACUCGCUGCUUCCUCUGUGAGUGGACUUUAACUCUGCGUGGACUGCAACUGUCCCAGCUGACAGCGAGCCUCCACUCCAACCCCACAUCCACGAGGUUUGCAGAGAGGAACACGCACUCAGCGAAGGAGAUUUAAGUCUUCGUGGCCUCGUUUUUAUCUUUGUACUGCUUCCAGUUUUGUACUCUGUGUGUCACAUGUGGCAUCCUGGUCAGUAAAUGAAUAUAUGAUCAAUAAAAACAAAAUAAACUGAA